AGCUCCAAUAGCGUAUAUUAAAGUUGUUGCAGUUAAAAAGCUCGUAGUUGGAUUUCUGGGAGGGUGCCGAUGUCGUCUUGUUGAUUGUGCAGAGGCGCCCUUCCAUCCUUCUGUUAACGUUUCUGAUAUUCAUUUAUUGGUCUCGGGCUCAGAUAUUUUACCUUGAGAAAAUUAGAGUGUUCCAGGCAGGCUCGCGCCGGAAUACAUUAGCAUGGAAUAAUAGAAUAGGACUUUAGUCUCCUUUGUUGGUUUGAGGGACUGAAGUAAUGAUUAAUAGGGAUAGUUGGGGGCAUUAGUAUUUAAUUGUCAGAGGUGAAAUUCUCGGAUUUGUUAAAGACUAACUUAUGCGAAAGCAUUUGCCAAGGAUGUUUUCA
rnacentral:rRNA from 1 species